rnacentral:rRNA from 1 species
UACAGAGGGUGCGAGCGUUAAUCGGAAUUACUGGGCGUAAAGCGAGUGUAGGCGGUCUGAAAAGUCGGGUGUGAAAGCCCUGGGCUCAACCCAGGAAGUGCACUCGAAACUGCCAGGCUAGAGUAUCGGAGAGGUUGGUGGAAUUCUCGGUGUAGAGGUGAAAUUCGUAGAUAUCGAGAGGAACACCGGUGGCGAAGGCGGCCAACUGGACGAAUACUGACGCUGAGACUCGAAAGCGUGGGGAGCAAACAGG